UACGGGGGGAGCAAGCGUUGUUCGGAUUUACUGGGCGUAAAGGGUGCGUAGGCGGCGUGACAAGUCACUUGUGAAAUCUCCGGGCUUAACUCGGAACGGUCAAGUGAUACUGUCGUGCUAGAGUACAGAAGGGGCAACUGGAAUUCUCGGUGUAGCGGUGAAAUGCGUAGAUAUCGAGAGGAACACCUGCGGCGAAGGCGGGUUGCUGGGCUGAUACUGACGCUGAGGCGCGAAAGCUAGGGGAGCGAACGGG
rnacentral:rRNA from 1 species